CCUACGGGUGGCAGCAGUGAGGAAUAUUGGUCAAUGGGCGCAAGCCUGAACCAGCCAAGUCGCGUGAGGGAAGACGGCCCUACGGGUUGUAAACCUCUUUUGCCGGGGAUCAAGCCUGAGCACGUGUGCCCAGGCGGAGAGUACCCGGAGAAAAAGCAUCGGCUAACUCCGUGCCAGCAGCCGCGGUAAUUCGGAGGAUGCGAGCGUUAUCCGGUUUUAUUGGGUUUAAAGGGUGCGUAGGCGGGCUGUUAAGCCGGCGGUAAAAAUUCAGGGCUCAAACCUGUCGAGCCGUCGGAACUGGCAGUCUGGAGUGGGCGAGAAGGAGGCGGAAUGCGUGGUGUAGCGGUGAAAGGCAGAG
rnacentral:rRNA from 1 species